CAUGGUUGUCGUCAGCUCGUGUCGUGAGAUGUUGGUUAAGUCCCGCAACGAGCGCAACCCCUAUUGUUAGUUGCCAUCAUUCAGUUGGGCACUCUAGCGAGACUGCCGGUAAUAAACCGGAGGAAGGUGGGGAUGACGUCAAUCAUCAUGCCCCUUAUGACCUGGGCUACACACGUGCUACAAUGGUUGGUACAACGAGUUGCGAGUCGGUGACGGCGAGCUAAUCUCUUAAAGCCAAUCUCAGUUCGGAUUGUAGGCUGCAACUCGCCUACAUGAAGUCGGAAUCGCUAGUAAUCGCGGAUCAGCACGCCGCGGUGAAUACGUUCCCGGGCCUU
rnacentral:rRNA from 1 species